rnacentral:lncRNA from 1 species
GCCGAGAUUGCGCCAUUGCACUCCAGCCUGGGCAACAAGAGCAAAACUCCGUCUCAAAAAAAUAAAUAAAUAAAAUAAGUGUUUAUCUUCUCUGUAAAGCUUUGACUAAUGCAAAAAAGAAUUCUAAGGGUAGUCUUAAGCUGGUAUAUUUUGUGCUACAGAUUCAUUUUUCUGUGUCAAGGGGUACUUCAGGAUAAAACAGGCUUAGAACACCUGGAAGCUGCCUUUUUUUUUUUUUUUUCUUUUUGAGAUGGAGUCUCACUCUGUCUCCCAGGCUGGAGUGCAGUGGCACAAUCUCAGCUCACUGCAUCCUCCACCUCCUGGGUUCAAGCAAUUCUCCUGCCUUAGCCUCCUGAGUAGCUGGGAUUACAGGCGCCCGCCACCAUGCCCAGCUAAUUUUUUUUUUUUUAGUAGAGAUGGAGUUUCACCACCUUGGCCAGGCUGGUCUUGAACUUCUGACCUCGUGAUCCACCUGCCUCGGCCUUUCAAAGUCCGUGAGCCACCACGCCUGGACUGUAAGCUGCUUCUCAAGACAUCCCAGCAAGCUGACCGGCGCUGUGGCUUACACCUGUAAUCCCAGCACUUUGGGAGGCUGAGGCGAGUGGAUCACCUGAAAUCAGGAGUUCAAGACCAGCUGGCCAACGUGUUGAAACCCCAUCUCUACUAAAAAUACAAAAAAAUUAGCCAGGUGUGGUGGUGCGUGUCUGUAAUCCCAGCUACUUGGGAGGCUGAGGCAGAAGAAUCACUUGAACCCAGGAGGCUGAGGUUGCAGUGAGCCAAGAUCACACCAUUGCACUCCAG